UCCUGGGGGCUGCUUGCCCUCGUCCUAAAGCCUUCUGCCCUCCCGCGCUCCCCACCCCCCCUCCAAUCAACUAGCCCGGGGCUGGUCGGUAAUUAAUCACUCGGCGUUGGAAUGGCCAAUGCCUCUUUGCCCGAGCUCGCCCUCCAUCUCUCGGCUGCCCUCCUCCUCCUCCUCCCUCUGCCUGCCCGUUUUCCCGUCCCCAGUGAUGCAGCUGCGGUAGCGACCGGCAGCAAAUCCGGCUUCUCCCUCCGCUUCUUUCUGCCCUGCUCUGGCUGGCUGGCUCCAUCAGCCUCCCCACCAUCGCCACCCUGUUCUGCUCGGCUCUGCGGGCCUCCCCGGGCGUGCGUGUGCGAGAUCUCGCCUUGCACCUCCCCGGGUGCCUCGAGGAGUGGGGUGUGUGGAACCGCACACCCUCCCUCCCCCUUAGCAAUCGCAAGGAAUUUGAAUGAAGAGGGGUCCUCGGCUGCUGCUGCUGCUUCCUCCUCUUCCUCUUCCUCCCGGCUCGCGCUGUCGUUGGGAUGCACCAGCUGAACUUGGGAGAAGCCUCUCUCGCGAAGAAGCAGGAAGUUCAGGGCACUAUGUAACUUCACAGCAGGCUGCAGGAAAGGUUGCCUGAAGACCUAAGGAUUCCCCCCCCCCACGCCCCCAAGGCAAGCCAGUUAAUUUUGUGAAGGCUAAACUCCGCUUUGUGGCCAUAUUCUUGCUGAUCUCCAUCCUGCAUUCUUGUUGCACUCCAUCAGCUGUCAUCCCCAUGUUAGCUGCACAGAGUU
rnacentral:lncRNA from 1 species